rnacentral:rRNA from 1 species
UACGAAGGGGGCUAGCGUUGCUCGGAAUCACUGGGCGUAAAGCGCACGUAGGCGGAUUGCUAAGUCAGGGGUGAAAUCCUGGAGCUCAACUCCAGAACUGCCCUUGAUACUGGCGGUCUCGAGUCCGGGAGAGGUGAGUGGAACUGCGAGUGUAGAGGUGAAAUUCGUAGAUAUUCGGAAGAACACCAGUGGCGAAGGCGACUCGCUGGACAAGUAUUGACGCUGAGGUGCGAAAGCGUGGGGAGCAAACAGG